rnacentral:rRNA from 1 species
AUUGAACGCUGGCGGCAUGCUUUACACAUGCAAGUCGAACGGUAACAGGGUGCUUGCACCGCUGACGAGUGGCGAACGGGUGAGUAAUGCGUCGGAACGUGCCGAGUAGUGGGGGAUAACGCAUCGAAAGGUGUGCUAAUACCGCAUACGUACUGAGGUAGAAAGUGGGGGACCUUCGGGCCUCACGCUAUUCGAGCGGCCGACGUCUGAUUAGCUAGUUGGUGAGGUAAAGGCUCACCAAGGCGACGAUCAGUAGCGGGUCUGAGAGGAUGAUCCGCCACACUGGGACUGAGACACGGCCCAGACUCCUACGGGAGGCAGCAGUGGGGAAUUUUGGACAAUGGGCGCAAGCCUGAUCCAGCCAUGCCGCGUGUCUGAAGAAGGCCUUCGGGUUGUAAAGGACUUUUGUCCGGGAGCAAAUACCCAGUGCUAAUAACGCUGGGGGCUGAGAGUACCGGAAGAAUAAGCACCGGCUAACUACGCGCCAGCCGCCGCAGUAAAAC